GUUUCAGCAGUUUAAAAAUUUAAUAGGCACUGGUGACUGUUUCAUUUCUACACCUGUAAAAACAUCAGCCGAGUAGAUCUACCGGUGUGCCAGAGAUUAGUUUCGCUUGAGCGAGUGGGUAGAUGAGUUGGUGACUAUCGUGUGUACAUCGGCGACCGCCUUAGGAAAUUACCUGAUGUAAGUAAAACAGUUAUUGUUAUAAGAUUACACCGACAAUUUCUUUAAUGAAUUUAUGAAACACUUAUAAUAGCAUAUAAUAAUCGGAAGGUUUGUAGUGCCGAUACAAACAGGAUUUCGAUGUUGAACAAAUGUCGGUGUUUACCACCGAUCGUUGUUGGACACAAAAAUGAUACUUCGAGUUAUUCGAUCAUUUCAAGUAGGAUUUUUAUUGUUGGUACCAAAUUUUCACUUCAUAUUAUCCGAGUUUUUCGAGUUUUCUCAAUUUGAGUUUUCCGAGGUUUUUUUACUAGGAUAAAGAGAGAAUUCGGCCGGGACUGACGAAGCACUUCGAGUUACGCGGGGUAUUCAAGUUUUCCAAGUUCGAGUUAACGAAGUUCCACUGUACUGAAAAAAACUGCCAUCAGAUAGCCCUAAUGUUACUGUGUCCUUCACAGUAGGACAAACUUAAGCAGUAGUUUACUCUAUGUAUGUCAAAUGAGGACGGACAGAGAGGGUAUAAACAUAACCGUAUAAGGUGUCAAAUGAGGACCGUCAGAGACGGUAUAAACAUUACCAUAUAAGGUGUCAACUGAGGACCGUCAGAGGGGGUUUAAACAUUACCAUAUAAGGUGUCAACUGAGGACCGUCAGAGGGGGUAUAAACAUUACCAUAUAAGGUGUCAAACAGGGACCCACAGAGACGGUAUCAACAUUACCAUAUAAGGUGUCAAACAGGGACCCACAGAGAGGGUUUAAACAUUACCAUAUAAGGUGUCGAACAGGGACCCACAGAGAGGGUAUAAACAUUACCAUAUAAGGUGUCGAACAGGGACCCACAGAGAGGGUAUAAACAUUACCAUAUAAGGUGUCGAACAGGGACCCACAGAGACGGUAUCAACAUUACCAUAUAAGGUGUCAAACGGACCCACAGAGAGGGUUUAAACAUUACCAUAUAAGGUGUCAAACAGGGACCCACAGAGAGGGUAUAAACAUUACCAUAUAAGGUGUCAAACGGACCCACAGAGAGGGUUUAAAUAUUACCAUAUAAGGUGUCGAACAGGGACCCACAGAGACGGUAUAAACAUUACCAUAUAAGGUGUCAAACAGGGACCGACAGAGAGGGUAUAAACAUUACCAUAUAAGGUGUCAAACAGGGACCCACAGAGAGGGUAUAAACAUUACCAUAUAAGGUGUCAAACAGGGACCCACAGAGAGGGUAUAAACAUUACCAUAUAAGGUGUCAAACGGACCCACAGAGACGAUAUAAAUAUUACCAUAUAAGGUGUCAAACAGGGACCCACAGAGAGGGUAUAAACAUUACCAUAUAAGGUGUCAAACAGGGACCGACAGAGAGGGUUUAAACAUUACCAUAUAAGGUGUCAAACAGGGACCCACAGAAAGGGUAUAAACAUUACCAUAUAAGGUGUCAAACAGGGACCGACAGAGAGGGUAUAAACAUUACCAUAUAAGGUGUCAAACAGGGACCGACAGAGAGGGUAUAAACAUUACCAUAUAAGGUGUCAAACAGGGACCGACAGAGACGGUAUAAACAUUACCAUAUAAGGUGUCAAACGGACCCACAGAGAUGGUAUAAACAUUACCAUAUAAGGUGUCAAACAGGGACCCACAGAGAGGGUAUAAACAUUACCAUAUAAGGUGUCAAACGGACCCACAGAGACGGUAUAAACAUUACCAUAUAAGGUGUCAAACGGACCCACAGAGACGGUAUAAACAUUACCAUAUAAGGUGUCAAACAGGGACCGACAGAGAGGGUAUAAACAUUACCAUAUAAGGUGUCAAACAGGGACCGACAGAGAGGGUAUAAACAUUACCAUAUAAGGUGUCAAACAGGGACCCACAGAGAGGGUUUAAACAUUACCAUCUAAGGUUUCAAACAGGGACCCACAGAGACGGUAUAAACAUUACCAUAUAAGGUUUCAAACAGGGACCCACAGAGACGGUAUAAACAUUACCAUAUAAGGUGUCAAACAGGGACCCACAGAGACGGUAUAAAUAUUACCAUAUAAGGUGUCAAACAGGGACCCACAGAGAGGGUAUAAACAUUACCAUAUAAGGUGUCAAACAGGGACCGACAGAGAGGGUAUAAACAUUACCAUAUAAGGUGUCAAACAGGGACCCACAGAGACGGUAUAAACAUUACCAUAUAAGGUGUCAAACAGGGACCCACAGAGACGGUAUAAACAUUACCAUAUAAGGUGUCAAACAGGGACCCACAGAGAUGGUUUAAACAUUACCAUAUAAGGUGUCAAACAGGGACCCACAGAGACGGUAUAAACAUUACCAUAUAAGGUGUCAAACAGGGACCCACAGAGACGGUAUAAACAUUACCAUAUAAGGUGUCAAACAGGGACCCACGGAGAGAGUGUAAAGAGUAUAUGUACUAUGUAAUUAAGGAGUCUAAUUUCAUUAUGAAAACCAUUAUGUUGUAUUUCGAUGUUUUGUUUUUUUACUCAUAACUCUUCUUUUUAUGAAGAUAAUUGAAAUAUUUGUUGAUUUAAUUUUAGAUCAUGUGCAAAUAUUCUUUAAUGUGUAGACAUUGAAGAAAUUAAAAUUUGUUCCACUUAGAGUUGAGAAAUGAUUAUUUUGACACCAUGCUCCUCUCUACUGGUAGGUUUUAAAGACAAACAUUACCUCCCUUUUUAGACAUACUAAGACAUUUUUAAUAUCAAAUAUGUCUUAAUUGAUGUUUCUUGGUUCCAUUGUUCUCUACCUACCAAUUAUUUCUAGUUUAUCAGUUUAAACAUGAAUAAAGAAUAUUGUUAAUUCCAAUCAUAUUUUCAAUUCUGUUGUAAAGCUGUACAUAUUUUACAUUAAUACUUUAACAUACAGUCAUGUACUUGCAGAAUAUAGAGAAAUAUAAUUUUUGGUGUGAUUUGUAAAUAUUGAAUUUAUAUUUUGGAUAUUUUGAAAGUAUACAAAGAAAUGUAAAGUAUGGUAACACCUACUAUACGUAUACGCGGUCUUAGUCCGCCUGAUUGCAUUGGCGAGUUACACGGCGCCUGUCAAAAGUUUCUUGCCAUGUUGAACCUCUGACAUUGUUGGAGUAGUCAUGUACAUGCUGACGUUAUCUGGAACGUCAUUAAACGUUACAACAUGUAUGUGUACUUGUAUGGAGGUAUGUUUUAAACAUUUGUUUUGAACACUCAAUUUCUAGAUAUUUUGUAACUAAACUUUAAGCAAGAAAGCCAUAUUUUGUCAGAAAAUACAGCUGCCCAAAAACAUAAUCUACAGAAAAUUUCAUUGUGAAUAUCAAUAUUGUCAUUUAAACACUGUCGUCUACAUGUUUGGAGUUAAUCGCCACGACACAAGUUUGUUGCUAUGUGUAACAGGUGCAAAACCACAUAAAUCGAUGUUGUCAUACAUACAUAAUUCCAGAAUAUAUGUACAUAUACACGUAGAGUUGUUUAACUAUUUUCAGGAACUAGACAAAUACAGGUUGUAGUUAAAUGUUCUUAGUCCUCAAAAGAGCCAGGAUCACCAAGUCAUGGAAAUCUAUGCUUGUAACUACAACAGGAAGACAAUUUCAAUUCUUCUCAUCUUUCUGACAAAAUGUACUACAGGUUUGGAAUGUUUAUCAUGUGCUGUUUUUUUUUUUAUCUUAUUGCAGAUAAAACACAGAAUUGUAUGUAUUUAACAAUUGGACAUGACAUUUAUCAUCAAUAUGAAUGACACAACUUAAUUUUGCAGGCAGACAUCAUAAGGAGUAUGCCCUAGUGUAAUGUAGUAUGAUACCAACCUGUCAUAUUAACUAACAUGUCAUUUGACAGGUGUGUGGUCAGUCACUAUAGUUAUAAUUAUGACAUCAUUUGACAGGUGUGUGGUCAGUCACUAUAGUUAUAAUUAUGACAUCAUUUGACAGGUGUGGUCAGUCACCAUAGCUAUAAUUAUGACAUCAUUUGAUAGGUGUGUGGUCAGUCACCAUAGUUAUAAUUAUGACAUCAUUUGAUAGGUGUGUGGUCAGUCGCCAUAGCUAUAAUUAUGACAUCAUUUGACAGGUGUGUGGUCAGUCACCAUAGUUAUAAUUAUGACAUCAUCAUUUGACAGGUGUGUGGUCAGUCACCAUAGCUAUAAUUAUGAUUACAUAAGUUAUACCACCUAAAACAAUGGCUUUUGUAGUAUAAAUGUCACUUAUGAGGUUAGAAAUGAAGAAUGAAAGGUGAUAAUGUGAUGAUUGAGCAGUGUCACUAUACCAUACUGUUGUAGAUUUUGUCAAUAAGUAAAUGACUGCAGUGCUUAGUAUUCUGUGGUACUAGAGGGACAAAAGGACUCUUUCUACAGAGUUCCAUGAAGGUUGUGGUAACUCAUUAUUUAAGUGUGAAUUAUGUUUAAUACUAUUUUAUUAAAUGUUGAAGACUUUUAUAUCAAAACAUAAAUAUACUGCGACUAGUUUGCCAAUUUUAACAAUAGAAAAAUAGUUUUAAUAUGUGUUCAACUGUUGAUUGGGUUUUGAAGUGUGGGCAUUGAAGUGUGGACAUUGAAGGUGUGGACAUUGAAGUGUGGCCAUUGAAGUGUGGCCAUUGAAGUGACCAAUAUCACCAAAUAUUGUAUGUGUGCCAAAGGGGUAAAUAUUUCAUGUGGUGAAAACACUUGGUGUUUGUAGGGACUUUUACACGAAAUGGUACCAGAUAUUUCACUUGCUGUAAUGUACAAUUGUUCAUGGCAUAUUGCGUAAUCAAAGCAAUCAACAAUAGUUAGGUUUAACAUCAGAUCAAACUGCUUUGAUCCAAAAAAUAUAUUGUAAUGCAGAUAGAAAAAUCUGAGAAAGAGAACUUUGGACAGAAAACUGAUUUGUAGGAUUGUUGUUUGUAUUAGUGACUAGAACAAAGUGAAUGUCACUGAAAGAUCCAGUGAAGGUGCUGAUAAUCCUUCAGUCGCUAAUACUCGUCUUAAUUGUUUAUUAAUGAAAGUUUUCCGAUCACUUGUUCAAUUGCAUGUUUAAAACAAUAAACAUACAACUACAUCAUA